GCUCUAGGCUUGUUCUGUGUUGGAUAAAUGUCUUGGUUAUUUACUCUUCUAUCCUCAAGUAUCUUAGGAAUAGGAUUCAUGACAAUGAGCCAUUGAUUUCUGAAGUUUUCCAAGCUAACCUAUUUGCUUUGUAGGCAAGAAGGUGAGCAAGGCAUCUAAGAUCCAGUGGCUUGUGAACCCUUGACCCUUCAGAGGAAGCAUGCUAGAAUCAUUGACAAGAAGAUUGCCAAGAAGAAGUCUGAGGCUGUCGAGUACCAAAAGCUUCUUCCUAUAGGCUGAAGGAAUAGAGAUCACCACAAUGAGAGCUUGGCCAAGAGAAGAUCCAAGCUUUCUACCUCUGCCAAGGCUUCCUCUGGCACCUCCGCUUAAGAAUGUCUUAAGAAUGUUCAGUGCUUUUGAGAUGUUUUCAAGACCUAUCUUGUUACAGCUUAAGUACCUUAUGCUGCUCUAGCUGUGUUGCAACUGUCCCUAUACUUGACAGAUUUGCAUUAGAUGCUUAGGCUAUAGAGGGUAGGAUCCUAAUUGUGACCAUGUACUAAAUUAUAUAUCUGUUGCUAAGUUACAGUACAGACAAAAUAAAUUUAGCCUGGCC
rnacentral:lncRNA from 1 species